UCUCCGUGCGAGAAGGCAUCUUGCAGACAGAUGUCAAGCAUGAAAGAGGGGCUAAUUUUUGGUCUUGGUUUGAUCAUUUUUGUCAUCUGCUUGGCUUCCUAGCCCUCAGAAUGGCCACCCUGGACCUGAAUGAAGGAGUCCUCCUGGAUCAGCAGCCUAAGGUUCAAUCUGCAGUUGAGGAGCCAGCAGACUCGCAUUGGAUGCGCUUGAUAUGAUUUAAACAUCUUCCCUGGUCAUGACCUCUGGCUGCAUCUGUGUGUGCAAAUAUGGAGACCAUAAUGGACGCAAGCUGACUUAAGCCGCAUACCGUGGCGGCAAACUCUGUGAGUCAGGAGCACAGGGACCAAUAAUUGUCCCAUUGGGCUGAUCUAAGCUUUCCCCUGUGGCUGCCUCUGUGUUAAGAGCUUGGAGAGCAAUGUACAACUUUGACAUCUGAUUUAUUAAGAAAAAAUAAAUAUUACCCGAAAUUAAUAAAUGACUAUGUAAGUGAACGGUGCAAGCUUUCAGUCAGUGGAGAGGCAGCCUCAACACCUCUGUCCCGUUGUCUGCAUGGUAUGCUUCCGGACCGACGCUGGAGCUGGUUGCAGCUUCUGUUGUCAUCCAGAGUGUCCUGCUGCCUCCUGGUGUGGGAGGAGACCAAGAUGCACUGGUGUUGAUUUUAGCAUCUUCAGUGGUCGAGAGGCCUGUGGUUGCCUGUAUAUAAUAGGAAAACAGAGAUUAAUAAUGGACACACAAGAGCUUGUGUAAGGAUUCUUUGAAGGUCAAAAGCUGUAUGGUUGCAUCUUUGUAUUAAGAGUAUGGAGAACAAUAAUGGAAGCACUUGGGCUGAUUCAGCAUUCCUCCCUGCUCAGGAGCUCUCUGGUUGCGUCUAUGUGUUAGGGGUGUGAAGUCCAAUACUGACUCCUCGUUGCUGAAGGUGGUGGCUGGGGAGUCUCUGGGCAAGAAGCCUGCAGGCUUACGUCAGUGGUGCACACAGUUCUCUUCCCUAGAACGGAUGUGAGCGUAAUCGUUCUGUGAUGGUCGAGACCUGUGUGGCUCAAUCAUCUCUGCAUCCCACAGGAUGGUUGCAUGGUAGUUACUGAAAUUGUUCUCCAGUCGUGAAGAUCUUGGUCUUAUCUCUAUGGGGAAGGAACGAAUCCUGCCAUGUGAGUAAUAAUGUUCUUGGUUCGGGUGGUUCACUCAUGGGCUUCCAUUAUAUCAUUAUAAAAAUAAUAAAUGUAAUUAAAAAUUUAAAUGCCGUGCAUUGACCUAUGAUAAGCAUGUGUUAUGAACCAAGUUGAUGAGUAAUGCAGUUUAGCACACAUGAGGUACACGAAGAAAAAGACACCUAACUUCCUCUAUUCAUUUCCAAACUUAAAUGUCCCAUUUUAUGUUUUUCCCAUUGAUUAUUUACACAUCUCUCUCUUAAAUAACUCCUAAGCUGUUACUCAUUUAGGGAGUCAGUAUUCCGGCUGUUGAGUAGGAUGGUGGGUUCAUGGUUGUUAAUUGCAACAUCUAAACAGUGUUCAAAUUAAAUGCAGAAGGGCCACACCUGGACCAAUGAUGUAAAUGGAAUGCAUCUGAAUAAAAAUUAUGAUCAAUCAUUUUUUGAACCACUGAGGUCCAUGGCAAAAGGAGAAUUAGUGCAUGACUUUUUGGGGAAUGAUCUCAGGAAAGUUUGAGGAUUGACAGGUUCAUGGAUAUUGAUUUUACAUUAUUAGUGAACAAACAAACAAACAUCCAAAAGAAAAGAAAGAGAGGCCCAAACACGGACCGGUUUUGAGGAUGUGUUCUAGAAUGAGGAAUUACUUCAAUUCUGAAAUACCUUGGUCCAUUAAGAAAACACGUACAUAAAAUUGUUCCCACUUUGUGUAAGUAGUAGCUAGAGAGAGGUAUUUAACAGUCAAUGUCUGCUCUUAGCUGAAAGGAGUUACUAGAUGCUUGAUUCAUGAAGAAAAAAAAAUUAGGAUUAACUAAAUGUUUAACUAAAUGAAUGAGUGCAAGAUAUGAACCAGUGAUGAGUGUAUUUUAUUCUUUUUUACAUCUGUUUGGUACCCUGGAAUGCCGUACCUUGGUUGGUUCAAUCAUUAAUGAUGAAGGUCUUGACUGUUAACUAUAUGGUCGAGGAGAGUACAGAUCAGGGUAAGUUUUUAUUCUUGGUUUGGUCCUUUUGUUUAUGGAUGAUGACUAUAUUAUUUAAAAAGAACAGAUGGCUAAAUGCAAUAAUAAAUUAAAGAAGAUUAUGCAAGGACCAAUGGUAAGAAUUUGAUAGGGAUUGUGGUAAAUUCAUUUUGCAAAACUGAGAAAAGAUAGAUUUCCAUUAAAAAAAAUUAAACAAGAAUUUAGUCAGGUUACCUAUUUUUACCAUUCUGUUUAAGAAAUAUGUAGAGAGGCUUAAUAAUUAAAGUUUUCCCUCUUGUUUGGAAGUUGAUUCUUUGCUAUUGACUUUCUUUUUGAAAAUGAGUACCUGACUAAAUUAAUAACUCAGGAAAAAUCAGUUUAUAAAGAAGAUUAAAAUGAUCAAGAGAAUUCCAGCGAUAAAAUUUUAUGAAAUGAGAACUGUGAUCACCCCAAUUUUGCCUGUCUGAGAUCCAUUUAACCAAAAAAGAUUUAUUAAUCUGUUACUUCUGUGUAUAAUGAAGACAGACAUAGAUGUGAGAAUAUUCAUCGUUUUUGUUCUUUUAUUUUGGUGGGUUCAUGGGUGUUAAUUAUUAUUAUAAGUAUUGUAGUUUAAUAAACCAAUCUGUGGGAAAUUAAAUCAGAAGAGAUCAAAUCAUGGACCAGUGAUGAAAAUGUGUUUUGAAACAAUGGUUAUAAUUAUUACAAUUCUGU